rnacentral:rRNA from 1 species
UACGGGGGGGGCAAGCGUUGUUCGGAAUUACUGGGCGUAAAGGGCUCGUAGGCGGCCAACUAAGUCGGACGUGAAAUCCCUCAGCUUAACUGGGGAACUGCGUCCGAUACUGGAUGGCUUGGAUUUGGGAGAGGGAUGCGGAAUUCCAGGUGUAGCGGUGAAAUGCGUAGAUAUCAGGAGGAACACCGAUGGCGAAGGCAGGUCUCUGGGCCACUACUGACGCUGAGAAGCGAAAGCAUGGGGAGCGAACAGG